ACUGUACAUGGAAAUGCGGUACCUCUACUGUAAACUACAAUUACAGUAGAUAAGUGUUACCGUAGAAAUUACAGUAGUCAAAGCACUACUGUAAACAAAUCACAAUAUAGCCAUAGGCUACUGUAAAUAGUUAAGUAAACUACUGUGUUUUCCCUUUUUUAAUCUUAUCUUUCUUUUAACUCAUAAUGACAUACCAGAGACGGUUGAGAAAGUCAAUUUGAUGUCAAGAAUUAAGGCUUUGAUCACACUAUUGAGCGAGCAUAACACAUUUCAGCCUAAUCAUUUUCCACAAUUGUUUGGUUUUUAACGGCUGCUUAUCGCCUCUUGAUAAGCGCAUGCGCACACGCAGUAAUUCCCAUCCCCCACCCCUGACUUUUCAACUCAAGCCAGAGUGACUUCACUUCACAACCAUCAACCGUCACUUUUCAGUCAUGAAUCUGACUGCAAUCUUCAACUCUGUACAAACAUCAUAUUCAAGGUAAGAAUUACAGUACUUUUGUAUGCCAAUUGAAAACGGGAAUUUAUUAGAAAUGUAUUGUUUUCACAAUGAAAUGUUAACCAAAGCCAUUAUUGUCCUGUUAGAAUCAUAGCAUAGCACAUAUCGAUAGCUAGAACUAGCAACCUAGCUGCUAACGUCGUUAGCGUUAGCGAUGUUAGCUGUUAAUGUUAACUUUUCCAGUAACUAACUUAACCAUCAUGUGGGAUUUUUCGAAUGAUAGUCAAUAUCAUAUCUAGCAAUAAUUCAGUCUGAUAUGUCGUUAUGAAUGUAGAGUUUUAGUUUGAAUGAAAUAUCAGAUGCAAGUAGCUUAGCUUAAAGUGGCUGUUACCAUGCAGGCUGAAGUUAGCUACAGACAGACACAGGUGAAAGUUGUUAACGUUAGCAGUUAGUUAGUAACAUUACUUUGCGAACUUCAUGGGGCAUGGGUAGUUAACAUUAAACUUCAUACAUGUAGUGCUGAUGCAUAAUAUGUAGUGUUGCUAUAACUGGAAAGAGGACCAGUAAAACAAAUUAAUGAAGUAGGCUGAUGUGUAAGUUAUCUCACCCCUAAUUUAGGAACUGUAGUUUUGCAUAGUCAUGCUCAUAGAUCCGUCAUAUAGUGGAUGUGAAAGGGGAGCAUUUGGGGAAUUUCAAUUACCAGAAAUAUCAUGCCGAUAAGUAAAGGGAUCUUUAGUUUGUGAAGGGUAGUGUUUGGCUAAAUGGUAUUCAUGUUAUAGCCUUUAUUUGCCCAAUGUUUGGUGACUUACAUUGAGGCAUGUGUUUAUUUAAGAUGCAUGUGAGUGUAGUAGUGCUUCAGUGAUGGUCUUUUCAUGUUCUGUGUGUUUUGCAAUGUAUUAAUUAAUGUAAGCCUCUUUCUGUUCCCUCGGUUUGUAGGUGGUGUGAGGACUGCUGCCCUGAGAACGCUGUGUCAGAGACACUUAGGCUGUGUGCAUUUUGGAAUGUUCCAGAUGUGUGUCACUUCCAUAAGGAAGAAGUUCCAAGCCCGCAAUGGGCUCAACUGUCAACAACUGUCCAGGGCGAAGUCGGUCUACUCUGAUGGCACUACCCUGAUGAUGUUAGCCAUGGCUGCUGCCCUCAACAUGGUAGCCCUCAUAAAUAAACUGAUAUCAAGAAGUAACAUAGAUGGUGACAAGGGUGGCAAGGGUGCCUCAUGGCAAGGAGCCAUCCAGAAGUCCCAGCCUGGAGCCAGAGGCUGCUAUUACAAGUCAGAUGGGAGAUGGCCUACAGUAUGUUAGGCAUCAGAAAAGUGGUGUACGCAUGAAGGCAGAGUUGCCGCAGGCAACGAUGAGAUUAGACACUUGACAUUUACUGCGAAAGGUACCAUUAGAGCACCUCUCCCUACCCUGCAGGAUACCUAUACCAGAAGAGUACAACAACGGCCCAAAAGUAUUUCAAAAGACAUUUCACGCUCUGACCACGGACUGUUUAAACCACUGAGGUCAAGCAGACAUCUCUGUUCCCACGUGGCAGACUGAGGGAACACCCACAAAACAGACUGGGGAUGAGUUUCUUUACUCUGCAUCCUGUACACACACAACUCCUUAUACUACAUUACAUAGACUUGCCAUACUGCACUUACACACACUGCGCUUUUAACCCCCUUAUCUGUGUCAAAUCAUGUGUUCAAACCAUGUCUACUG